rfam:Picea glauca, whole genome shotgun sequence.
UUACAUGCCUAUACCAUAGUGUUAAUGCAUUGGAUCCCAUUAUAAAUCUACAGUUAAUUGUUCUUGGGCUAGAGUAGUACUGGGAUGGGUGACUGCCCGAGAAGUCCCAGUGUCUUACAUU